rnacentral:rRNA from 1 species
AGAGCGAACGCUGGCGGCAGGCCUAACACAUGCAAGUCGAGCGCCCGUAGCAAUACGGGAGCGGCAGACGGGAUAGUAACACGUGGGAACGCGCCCUUCGGUUCGGAAUAACUCAGGGAAACUUGAGCUAAUACCGGAUACGCCCUUACGGGGAAAGAUUUAUUGCCGAAGGAACGGCCCGCGUCCGAUUAGCUAGUUGGUGAGGUAAUGGCUCACCAAGGCGACGAUCGGUAGCUGGUCUGAGAGGAUGACCAGCAUCACUGGGACUGAGACACGGCCCAGACUCCUACGGGAGGCAGCAGUGGGGAAUAUUGGACAAUGGGCGCAAGCCUGAUCCAGCCAUGCCGCGUGGAUGAUGAAGGCCUUAGGGUUGUAAAGUCCUUUUAACGGGGAAGAUAAUGACGGUACCGUAGAAUAGCCCCGGCUAACUUCGUGCCAGCAGCCGC